CUAUUGAUGGCGACCGGCGGACGGGUGCGUAACGCGUAUGCAACCUACCCUUUACAGGGGGAUAACACUGAGAAAUCGGUACUAAUACCCCAUAAUAUUCUGGGAGGCAUCUUUCGGAGUUGAAAGCUUUGGUGGUAAAGGAUGGGCAUGCGUUGUAUUAGCUAGUUGGUAAGGUAACGGCUUACCAAGGCGACGAUACAUAGGGGGACUGAGAGGUUAACCCCCCACAUUGGUACUGAGACACGGACCAA
rnacentral:rRNA from 1 species